rnacentral:tRNA from 1 species
UUAAUUAUAGUUUAAAAAAAACAUUUGAUUUUUAAUCAAAAAAUAAUUAGA